CUACGGGGUGCUGCAGUGGGGAAUAUUGCACAAUGGGCGCAAGCCUGAUGCAGCCAUGCCGCGUGUAUGAAGAAGGCCUUCGGGUUGUAAAGUACUUUCAGCGGGGAGGAAGGGAGUAAAGUUAAUACCUUUGCUCAUUGACGUUACCCGCAGAAGAAGCACCGGCUAAGUCCGUGCCAGCAGCCGCGGUAAUACGGAGGGUGCAAGCGUUAAUCGGAAUUACUGGGCGUAAAGCGCACGCAGGCGGUUUGUUAAGUCAGAUGUGAAAUCCCCGGGCUCAACCUGGGAACUGCAUCUGAUACUGGCAAGCUUGAGUCUCGUAGAGGGGGGUAGAAUUCCAGGUGUAGCGGUGAAAUGCGUAGAGAUCUGGAGGAAUACCGGUGGCGAAGGCGGCCCCCUGGACGAAGACUGACGCUCAGGUGCGAAAGCGUGGGGAGCAAACAGGAUUAGAUACCCGCGUAGUC
rnacentral:rRNA from 1 species